rnacentral:lncRNA from 1 species
AAACGUCAUCUGAUCGGCCUGAUGUGAUCUAUUUUGAGAACUCCGAUCAAAACUGAUAGGGACAUUAUCGGCCGAUUGCGAUCGGUUGCCGAUCGAUCGGUGCAUCUCUAGUUUCCACUGCUAGAUGCUGUGCUCGUUCAGUCGAUUAUGUUUUAACGUUUAGAGGACGUGCUGUAAUGAAAUAAAACAUAAUCCGGUGGUGGUGAUGAAAACUACACUGAAUGGCAGCCGCCAUUUUGUUAUGCCCAAACGGCGUCUGUGCAUACAUCACGCUUCCAACGAGAUCCCGCUUUUCUCUCGAGUAAGCAGGAAAAGGAGAAGUAACAAUGCCACCAAAUGAAAAGAUAAAACCUGUUGCAGGUCAGCAGACUAUCUGAAUUUUAGUAAUUUAUUUUGGUGCCAUUUAUGCUGCUACAACAAUGCUGUUUGAUUUGACUGUCAUGUGUCAUGACACUGUGACAGUUGUUUUACAAUAAACUUUUCAGAUUUGGAAUUUAAUUUGUUUAAUUUCAGAUACAUUUUGAACAUACAUGAAUAUAUCCGUUUAUUAUAACCGUAUCAUACCACCAUCAAAGGAGUUUAACACUCAAUACAAUUUAAGAAAUAGAAUAAUAUAAGAAAGAAAUACAUUUUUUUAACUGGGGAGUCGGGACCCAUUGAAUUUCCCAGGGACCCAGUCCACUCACCACCUGUGGGUCCCGGGGACUCACUACAUUGAAAACCUAUCAACAUCACUGGUAAUGGAUCAAUGUGUGGUGGAGCUGAGGUUUGAUUUCCAGCUGAUUUGAAGGGACAGGUCUACAUUUCCCCACAGAACAGAUGAGGCUGUGACAAUGUGCACAAUCACAAUGACUUUAUUUGUUCCGCAAAUGAGGAAAUGUCACAGCGGCCAAAGGACAGUAAUAUUACAAUAACAGUAAAAAUGAAACAAUAUGAUAAAAAGGCAGGACAGAGAAUACACUCGUAUAUACAUCAUAGUGUGUGUGUGUGUGUGUGUGUGUGUGUGUGUGUGUGUGUGUGUGUGUGUGUGUGUGUGUGUGUGUGUGUGUGUGUGUGUGUGUGUGUGUGUGUGUGUGUGUGUGUGUGUGUGUGUGUGUGUGUGUGUGUGUGUGUGUGUGUGUGUGUGUGUGUGUGUGUGUGUGUGUGUGUGUGUGUGUGUGUGUGUGUGUGUGUGUGUGUGUGUGUGUGUGUGUGUGUGUGUGUGUGUGUGUGUGUGUGUUCACAAAGAUAAGUCUUUAAAGGAGAAGCAGGAGAAAGUCGGUCCAGUGGAGGUGCAGAACAGAGGAGACCUGCUGGGUGAACUUGCUGCUCUGCCAGUGCAGAGCUGCGCCUGGAGAACCAGCAGCUGCAUCAGGAGGUCAGAGGUUCUCUAGAUUCUUCUUCUGUGGUGUUUUGGUGUCUCAGUGGAGCUUUUGACUGGACUGUAGAAGACCAGGUCUUUAAACUCAGUCCAGAGUGAUUUGUGUGUGUUCAGUAAAAUCUCUUUCCUGCUGAGCUUUACAUUGUUCAUGAUCUGUGGUUUAAAUAAAGAUUGAUUGGAUCCGUUUUAGGUCCACAGUAUGCAGCAGCAGAUGAUGAGGAAGACGGGGGGGAGGAGGAGGAAGAGGAGGAGGAACACCUCAAAACUCCCUUUGUGUUUCCCUUCAAGUGUCCAGGAGCCCAGGAGGCCGUUCUCCUCGAGGCAAAUAAGAAUCCUGUCAGAGGAGUAUGACAGAACGUUAUACGUUACAGCUAGCCGCUGCACAGAGCUCGCAGCAGAGAGCAAGCUGACGGCCAAGCAGGUACACUGGCCUUCACCCUCACGUAUAAUCUGAUCAAACUCCCUUUGUGUUUCCCUUCAGCUGUGCGGGAGCCCAGAAGGCCGUUCUCCUCCGCGCAAGUUAAAAUACUCACAGAGGAGUAUAAUAGGACUCUAUAUAUAACCCCGGAACGCUGCACAGAGCUCGCAGCAGAGAGCGACCUGACUGUGAAGCAGGUACACCGGCCUUCACCCUCACAUAUAACCUGAUCUGUCCCUCCAGAUUAACUCCUUUUAUUCAUGAAUCAAAUGUCUCAAAUGUCUCAUCUAUGGAAAAAAGGUUUCUGAUUUUAAAGAUUCAAAGAAGAAACAAAAAAAAAGACAACAAAUCUGAUCCCCAAAAGUCAGAAUUGUACUUGAGUAACUGUACUUUGCUACAUUCUUGACUAAGAGGUGGAAAUGUUCCUUCAUGGUUUCCUCCAUGUAUGCUGAUGACAUUGUCUAAAUCUAUAAUUCCAUAUCAAACAUGUUUGAAAUGGCUCAAUAACUUAAUAGAUUUGUUUUGAUGUCAUCAAAGCCCAGGAUGAUGUCAUCAAAAGUCUUGUGUCCAGAACCCAUUAUACCCAAAUAUUAACCGUUCUCUCAGCAUUGACAUGAAUUCUAAUGUGUCAUUUCCUUUGUGUCUCUUCUAAACAGGUCGCACAGUGGUUCAGGAAUAGAAGGAGAAAUAAAAAUGAGUGGGUCACAGUGGUUCCAGAACCAGUGGAUGAGGUGGGAGAAGCAACAACGACUUGGCUUCAGAAGCUAAAUAAUAAAAUGGAUUCUAAUAAAUGUGGCUCAAAGUGCCUUUCAUCUCAUUUUUCAUAGACUUUUUCUCUGUUUACAGAUUUCUAUAAGAAAUGUGCUGCAAAACAGGGAGAAGUCUCAUUUUUUCCACCUGCAACAAGCCACUCCCACUUUUGUUGUGAUGCUAGCUGUCAUGUUCUGUGUGUUGGAUCGUUAGCCCUCGUGUGUCUCUUCAGUGUUUCUGUUCUUCCUCCAUGUUUCCCUUCCUUGUUGCAUGUUUGUCUCCCUCUGUCUGUAUCAUCUUAGCCUGUUUGUUAGCCAGUCUCCCCUCACCUGUCCUCUUCCCUCCUCACCCACCUCACCUGUCCUCUUCCCUCCCCUCUCACCUCACCUGUUCAUCUAGUCAUCAGUGUGCCUGUGUAUUCAAGUCUCUGUCCAUUUGACCGAGACGUGUUUCAGCGGACGUUUCCGGCGGCUGUCGUCAUGUCGUGUUUUUGGAUCUUGUUGUUUUCUUAUUUUUGCAUUUUGAGUUGAACCUUGCCUCUUAUUGUAUCAGGCUUCUUUGGUUUCUCGUACUUCCACACACUUCUCUUGUGGUUCCAGAGAUGCAUCAUUCAUCUCAGGUCAUUUAUUUGAGCCAUUUAAAGCAGGUGUGUGUUGAGCUCAUCGACUCAAACUCCCAGAGAAACACCUCCAACUCUGCAGUUCUAUGAAGCAGAACCGUGACAGGUUGUUGUGCCCGCCCCCUCCCGUCAGACCCCACCCCCUCACACCAGACCCCGCCCCCUCACACCAGACCCCGCCCCCUCACGUCAGACCCCGCCCCCUCCCGUCAGACCCCGCCUCUCCACUGACAUCGUGAAAAACUAAACAAAGACAUUGUCACUGAAAUAUAAUAUAUCAAAAGUCAUUAAAUAACUUUUAAUGUCGGUGUUUUAUUUCCACUGUCAUUUGUUUCAGUGCCAAUACAACUUUUCCACAUCCAAACGUUUCAGUGUUUCCUUUGUUGGUUCAGGUUGUGUUUCUGUCUAAAUGAACUGUCAGUGUUCUGACUCCGUACACUUCCCCCUUCACUUUGAUUCUGUGACCCACAGUUUUAAUGUUCUGGUUCACUCUCUCUGCUCUCGUCCACGUUGUUGUACGCAGAUUUUAAAAAGUCAGUCGGUAAAAGAGGCUCUAAAAUCACACUGACACAUUUAGCGUCUAGCUGGUGAACA